UCAUAUUAUUUGUUGUGGUUUAUUUUGGAUGGCUGGAAAAUAAAAGUCCUUAUUUUCUAAGCGAACCUGUCUGCCAGAGUAAUUUUGCUUUUCAUCACGUUUGAUGCUACCCUGCACCUCACUUUGCAACAUUUUGGUGUCAGGAGUGGGAUUUAAUACACCUGUGUAGAGUCAGUGUUGGAAUACUGACUAAAUGAGAGGUGUAGGACGUGGAAGGACUCAUGUGGCAAGAAAAAAUGCCUUGGCAGACAUGGAGGAUGGAAAAGUUCAAAGGACAAUGGAGGGUGAGCCAUCACCUGAUGGAGCCAUGGCUGCUGAAGGUGAAGAAGAUGAAGAACUGGCGGUCCGCCCAAAAUUGGUUACAGCCCGUGACGCAGAUGAGGAACUCUCUGCACAAAAGUUCUUUGAAGAAAUGAGAGAGUAUAUGCGUCGGUCUAAACAAACUGAGAUGAUACUUUUUGAAGAAAUUAAACCACUGGGAAGGGAUAUGGUAUCGAAGUCUAUGCAGGACUGUAUGCAGUAUAAGUUAUGAACGGCCUGUUCAACAUUAUCCCCUUUCCAUGACUUCUGGUGUUCCAAGGCUGCAAGCUGAAACCUCAAAACCCUGCUAACAGCUGAUCCACCUGAAAUAUGCACUCCCCUCCAAGCUAGUGGAGCUGUCUACUCAUCACCACAGUUACCAGCUCAGCUUCAACAGCAUGUUGCACCACCAACCCAUAUGUAAGGCCCCAUGUCGGUAAACCCAGAAUACCUGACUUCAAAGAAGGUGAAGAUCCAGAGAACUUCUUUGUUCGGUUUGAGCGGAUAGCCAGAACAUGGGGGUGGCAGCCAGUUUAAUGGGCAGCCAGAGUGGUCACAUUGUUGACAGGAAAAACUCUUGAGGCUUAUGCUGGAAUGGAUGAGGAACAGUCAGAAUACUAUGAGGCUAUUAAGGCUGCAGUGUUACUGAAGUUCAAUGUAACAGAAGAGACUUAGAGGCAGCGUUUUAGGAGCACUGUUGCGCCUGUAGGAGAGACUGUACGAGAAACCUACAACUAGGUAAAGGAACUUUAUAAAUGGAUGGAUGCGACCAAACAGCAGCACUAAGGAGCAGAUUGGUGAAACCAUCAUCUUGGAGCAAUACCUUUGUGUGCUUCAUCCAGACGUCCGCACCUGGGUAAACGAGCACUCCCCCCUGACAGGGGAGGAAGCAAAGACCUAGCAGAACGCUACACAGCAACCCACCGGGACCCUUCAAUGAAAAAAGUAACUGUUGGGAAGCCAAGGUUUGGGGAGGGAAAACCUUACAGUUUGCCUGGUGUAGGAAGUAUGAACACUGGGGUUGGUAAGAAACCUGUUAAUUCAAACUUUAUAUGUUACUACUGUCAGCAACCUGGCCACAAAGUUUUUUUGUGUCCAUUAAGAGAGUCAAAGUCAGUUUAGAUGUAUUUUGUAGCUUGUGCAGAAAGUGGUGACAAUGACAAUGAUAAUAACAGUUAAUGGUUGUAUGGCAAAGGCUCUGGCUGACACUGGUAGUUCACAAACCUUGGUAAAAUCCAGCUUACACUUAUCAAAGUGUAAAUAUCACGUGUUCAUGGAUGUAAGAAAGAUUAUCCUACUGCAGAUGUAAUGAUUGAUGUUGAAGGGCAAGCCUUUAUGCUAAUUGUUGGUGUGCUGGUUGAAAAACCUAGGCUUGUUAUUCCAAAAGAGUCUCGCCAAGUAAUCCUGCAUUUGGGUCAUACUAUUCCAUGGGCUGGGCAUGUAGGACAGGCCAAGACCUAUAAACUCAUUGCUCAGUGCUUCUGUUGGCCAGGAUUAUACAGAGAGGUACUUGAAUAUUAUAAAACAUGCCACGACUCAGGUUGUAGCUCCCACCAAAGUUUCAGACCGAGACCAAUUACAACCUUGACCUAUCAUCAGUGUACCUUAUAUGAGAAUAGCCAUGGAUAUAAUAGGUCAACAUAAACACUAGAACACUAGAAGUUCUCAGAAAAACCUGGCCGAACUAAUGUUAUGAAUCACAACAUUGUCGUGAAGGACACUAAACCCUUUUGCCUGAAGCCUUACAGAAUUCCAGAAGGAAUGAUGGAACCACUGAGGAAGGAGGUGCAGGUGAUGUUGGACAUGGAAGUCAUUGAACUGUCUAGAAGUGAGUGGUCAAACCAUGUAGUGCUUGUUCCUAAGAAAAACUCCACUCAACCUUGGUUCUGUUCAGACUUAAGAAAACUGAACAGCAUUUCAUGCAUGCCCUGUAUUGACGAGCUGCUGGAGAGAUUGGGGUAAAGUAUAUCACAGCUUUAGACCUUUGAAAAGGUUACUGGCAAGUGCCUCUUGAACUAGCUUGCAAAGAGUAUACGGCUUUCCAGAUUCCAGGAAUGGGUUUGUGUUAAGAUGGGGUUUAAAAUUUAUAUUCAUUUGUUUAUUCUGUUUAUUAUUAGAGAGAAGACAGAGUUUAAAAUUAACAUUUGCCUGAUUUGUUGAUUAUUAAAGAAAGUAAAGACCAAAAGGUCGGAAUAUUACGUUUAUUAGCUUUUAGUAUUAUUUUGGACCGUGUCAGAAUGGUAAAUGGUCACGAUUUGCGAUGUUUUGACUUGCGUUAUAAAUUAUUAUUCAUGCGCGCUUCCGGUUCAUCCGUUCAAUAGGUGGAUAAGUUAGGCCAGGUACUUCCUUUGUUCCUUUGUUGUUUGUAGACUCAUCGCGUGGGAUCAAUGUAGAGAAGGCCACAGAAACGCCGUUGGUUUGCAGCCGCAUUGACGGUCUGGUGAUCUACAGUGAAUCCUGGAUAGAACACCUGCAGCAUCUUAAAGUUGUUCUUGGCAAGAUACAGGAAGCCGGUCUAGCCCAGAAUGCAAACAAGUGUUCUUGGGCUCAAGAGGAGGUGAAGUACUAUGGGUACCUGGUUGGCCGUGGGCAAAUAAAGCCACAAAUAAAGAAGGUAACAGGAGAUCCCAAGACCCCUGACCAAGAAGCAUGUUAGGUCUUUUUUAGGCCUGAUUGGGUGAUACAGAAGGUUUAUUCCCCAUUUUGCUAAAUUGGCAGCGCCACUCACUGAUCUAACAAAGAAAUCAUCCUCUAAAGUGGUUUGGAAUGAUGAAUGUGAAAAUACCUUUCGGGCAUUAAAGAGGCAAAUCUGUCAAGAUCCUGUGUUGCAGAGCCCUGACUUCACAAAAAUGUUCCUUGUGCAGGUCAAUGCCUCUGGUUUUGGACUAGGAGCAGUGCUAGCCCAGGGAGAGCCUGGAGAAGAGAAACCUAUCCUGUAACAAACUGUUUGACCUCUACUGUGGAAAAAGAGGGACCGGCUAUAAAGUGGACUGUUGAUUCAUUGAAGUUUGCAUUGCAGACUGACCACAGACCUUUGAAGUGCAUGCACUCAAAGCAACAUCAGAACGCAAGGAUCAUGCAUUGGUGCUACCCCUCCAGCCAUACCAGUUCACCAUACAGUAUUGUCCUGACGAUUGAUUGCUGACGACAAAGAGAUACCAUGUGAUACCAACAUCGUCAUACUAUUGGCUCACACGUCUUGUUAACAACGGCACUGGCAGCAACCACACGUCAGAUAUCGUAC